UUCAGGUUCCAAAAGAUUAAUAAGGAAUCCUGUGGAAAUCAGGAGCUAUGCCCGUAGCUGUAAGUUCUAUGAUAGACCUGCGGCAUCAACGUCACUGACCUUUUGUCGGGAAGACGCUGCUGGUUUGAACGAGCCAGAAGACCUGCCUGUAUCC
rnacentral:ncRNA from 1 species